rnacentral:rRNA from 1 species
UACGUAGGGGGCAGGCGUUGUCCGGAUUUAUUGGGCGUAAAGAGCGUGUAGGCGGUCUGGUAGGUCCGUUGUGAAAACUCGAGGCUCAACCUCGAGACGCCGAUGGAAACCAUCAGACUAGAGUCCGGAAGAGGAGAGUGGAAUUCCUGGUGUAGCGGUGAAAUGCGCAGAUAUCAGGAAGAACACCCGUGGCUAAGGCGGCUCUCUAGUACGGUACUGACGCUGAGACGCGAAAGCGUGGGGAGCGAACAGG